AAUUUAAAAAGCCAAAUUCUGAGAAAUUGAGUGACGGAAAACUAAUGGAUCUAAGGAUGAAUAUCUAUGCCAGCCAGUUACCAAG
rfam:Terrisporobacter sp. 08-306576 Contig068, whole genome shotgun sequence.